rnacentral:misc_RNA from 1 species
AAAAAUUAAAAAAAAAAAAAAUCAGAUUCUUUAGGGUUUUAAAUCCAACCUAAGAUGUCAGAUUUUGCCAAGUUCACUGUUUUAGGCAAGGAUUUCACCAAAAGUAUAAUAUUCCAGAACUAGCCUUCUGCCUAAUUACAAGUUACAAUUAUUAACUAUAUAAAGCCACGUUGUGCUCACUCUCAUGGCUACAUUGUUCCCCAACCAGCCCAAUUAAUAAAAUAAAAAAAA